UCAGCCCCUGGCCGGUGAGGGCGCAGGGAGGGGGGCGGGGGGGUUGGGGCCGCAGCCCGGCCGCGGGAGCGGGACCCGGGGCCUCGGAAGGGGCGCGGGGGGAGGGGCGGGCUCGGGUGCAGCGCCGGCCACCUGGGCUGUGCGGGCUCGCUCGCAGGGCGGGAGGGGGGAGGGGGAGGGGGGAGUAGCAGGGGGCACCUGCCGCUGGAAGCCGCCGGCCCCGCAGCAACACCGGCGGUAACUGGAGUUUACACAGAUGGCACCUUCCAGCAAACCCAAAGUGGUCCCGCGGAUUAGGCUUCACAGAGUCCGCUGUAGCCUACGGUGGCUUCUGCUUCACACCCCAUUUCUGCCUCCAGGGCGUGGGGCCGUUCCAGAAAGAGGGAACAAGAGGCCCCAAGGAUUCUCGUUUUGUCAAAAAAAAAAAAAAAGCCAGAAACAAAAAUGUCCUGCCACAGCACGCCCACUGAGCUGAGAGUCCGGUAGGUCUGAAUAGAGACUGACUCAGAACAGCACCACCAAAGCUCCCAGUCUCCCUCCUGGGUGUUUUAGAUCAGUGUCUUGGGUCUGUGAAACUGCUCUUGGGAGCAAUGUGCAUGUCCACGUGAGAUAAUUUAUCUCUUCCAUUUGGCAACUGGGAAAAUGUAAUUUUCUCCGUGUGAUGAGCAUGAGUGAAUGGCUCAUGCAUAGUGAAUGGCUGUCCUCCAAAUUGUGGGAUGAGGGUGUGAAAUAUGCAUUUUAAUAUCAGAGUCCAUUACCACACAAUGCCAGUAGAAUGAAUAGGAACUGGGAUGUUUUAUCCUGGCCCCUUCCGUCUCAUCAGCAUCACAUGGGUUCUUCUCCUAUGGAUGCUGUUGUUAGGAAAUGUUUUUUUCCUUAUUUUUACCCCAACCAGAAGACUGCCAAAGAAACAGCUGGCCUAGAUGGGGUAAGUAGAAAAUAACCACACAGAACCCACAGGGUGGCAAGGUUUCCAGGUUGUUUUACAACUUCUGUUUUCCAGAGGGAAAUGUACCAUGACUACAUACCUGUAAACUAUACCUCAGUGACUGAGUCACAGGUUCUUUUUUUUUUUCCUUUUUUAAGAUUUCAUUUAUUUAUUGACACAGAGAGAGAGGCAGAGACACAGGCAGAGGGAGAGGGAGAAGCAGGCUCCACGCAGGGAGGUCGAUGUGGGACCCGAUCCGGGUCUCCAGGAUCACACCCCAGGCUGUAGGCGGCGCCAAACUGCUGCGCCACCGGGGCUGCCCAAGUCACAGGUUCUGAUGCUGUGCACAGUGAUCCUGGAGGACACAGGAGUGGGGAGCGGCUGCAUGGAGCAGGAAAUGCCCUGCCACCUGCCUUAGGGCGUUUAGAUAUGAUGUUUUUGAAAUAGUGUUUCCGUAGAUGGAAGAUUGUAUAUUCCCCCCACUGGUCAUUGAAACUUAAUCCCUACAAAGUGUUAGUGUUUGGAGAUGGGGCCUUGGGGAGGUAAGGAAAUCAGGACAGUGGAGCCCUCAGGAAUGGGAUUACUUACUGUCUUGAUAAAAGAGAUGGCACAGAACUCCCUUCACCCCUUCUGCCACAUGAGGACACAGUGGGAAGACAGGCAUCUUUGAACCAGGAGGUACGGGUAGGCCCUCACCAGAUACAGAUCUGCCACCACCUUGAUCUUGGACUUCCUAGGCUCCAGGACUGAGAGAAGUUUCCUGGUUUAUAAGCCACUCAGUCUCUGCUAUUCUGUUAAAGCAGCUGGAAUUGACUAAGACAGCAGAGUAACCUUCUCAGGAAAGGCUGGGAUCUAAUUUUUUUUUAAUUUUUUUUUAUUUAUUUAUGAUAGUCACAGAGAGAGAGAGGCGCAGAGACAUAGGCAGAGGGAGAAGCAGGCUCCAUGCACCGGGAGCCCGACGUGGGAUUCGAUCCCGGGUCUACCAGGAUCACGCCCUGGGCCAAAGGCAGGCGCCAAACCGCUGCGCCACCCAGGGAUCCCAUGGGAUCUAAAAUGAGGUAACAAAUGACCAUCUUUCUCCCUAGGACUACAAAUGGGGGGGGGGGGCACCAGGGUGGCUCGACGGUUGAGCAUCUGCCUUUGGCUCAGGUUAUGGCCCCAGGGUCUCCAAAUCGAGCCUGCUUCUCCCUCUGCCUGUGUCUCUGCCUCUCUCUCUGCAUCUCUCAGGAAUAAAUAAAUAAAAUCUUAAAAAAAAAAAAAAAGAACUACAAAUAGGACUUAUAUAUUGUGAUAUAAUAAGAAAUACAUCUGCUUUUUGCCCCUCAGUUCCCGGCACAGAACUCCUCAACCCCUUGCAAUUUCCUGAGUGAUUGGAGUGUCUUUUGUCAUUCAUAAGGAAGCCCUAAUAAGAUGACUUAGGGUGGGCCCCACCUGUAGCUCAGGAUGGGAGCUGGUCAUCCACUAGAAAAACCCUAGUAGGUUAGAGGUUUGGAACUUUCAGCCCCAUGUGCCAACCUCUGGAAAGAUUAAACUCUAUAAAUAUGCUGGAACAGCAGGAUUAGAUCAGGUGCCAGGUUAGAGAACACAUCCAUUUGUCAGGGGGAUGAAGAACACCAGUUCCCUGGGGGGACAGAAGCACCUGCGUUGGGACCUUCUGGACCUAGCUCUAUGGAUUGCUUCAUCUGUUCAUCUGUGACCUUUCUAGUAUUUUUAAUAUUUUUUAAAGAUUGAUUUAUUUAUUUUAGAGAAAGCGUGAGUGCAUGUAAGUUGGGAGGGGGUAGGAGCAGAGGGAGAGAAGCGGACUCCCCACAGAGCCUGGCACAGGGCUGGAUCUCACCACCCUGAGAUCAGGACCUGGGCCCAAAUCAGCGCUAUAUCUUUUGCAAUAAACUGCUAAACAUAAAUAAAUGUUUCUUGGAAUUCUGUGAGCCAGUCUAGCAAAUU
rnacentral:lncRNA from 1 species